rnacentral:rRNA from 1 species
AACGAACGCUGGCGGCAGGCUUAACACAUGCAAGUCGAACGCAUCCUUCGGGGUGAGUGGCAGACGGGUGAGUAACGCGUGGGAACGUGCCCUUCAGUUCGGGAUAACCCAGGGAAACUUGGGCUAAUACCGGAUACGUGCGAGAGCAGAAAGAUUUAUCGCUGAAGGAUCGGCCCGCGUCUGAUUAGCUAGUUGGUGGGGUAAUGGCCCACCAAGGCGACGAGCAGUAGCUGGUCUGAGAGGAUGAUCAGCCACAUUGGGACUGAGACACGGCCCAAACUCCUACGGGAGGCAGCAGUAGGGAAUAUUGGACAAUGGGCGCAAGCCUGAUCCAGCCAUGCCGCGUGAGUGAUGAAGGCCUUAGGGUUGUAAAGCUCUUUCGUCCGGGACGAUAAUGACGGUACCAGAAGAAGAAGCCCCGGCUAACUUCGUGCCAGCCGCCGCAGUAA